UGUCGAGGUUUUCUUCGGUAGUUAACUGCAGCCGGUUUUGAACCGUCUCGGCAGUUAACUGCCGAGGGAUAU
rfam:Medicago truncatula strain A17 chromosome 1, whole genome shotgun sequence.